UGGUGGGCUCACGACACUCGUAGCUCACUAACUCACUUCCCAAACCCCAGGCUGAAACCCUAAGGAACACAUUGAAAACCCUGCACCCACUUUUAUUUCUUUUCUUUCUUUUUCUCUUGGAAGGUUUUGGACCUUCACCUCAUGCACAAGGCUUCCUCAUGCCCCAAGAUAUCCUCUAAAAUUUUCUAUGCAUGCCCCACCUUUCUGCUCUUUUUAAAACAAUGCAAGACGUGUCUUAUCCACGUGAGAGGAUAAA
rnacentral:lncRNA from 1 species